CGACGCCCUUUAUUCGCAAUUACAUGGCAGUGAAACUAAUGAUCAUUCCCUCGCGCAUCUGUCAAUACGGGCCAGUUUGCUAUUGAGUGCUAGAAGUGUUAUAGGACGAAACAGAGACGGCAUAGAAAAAUGCCGUAGUCCUUGAAAUUAAAUGUUAGCGGAACUAGUACAGGGAACAGAAAGAACACUGAAAUCUUUGAAGCCGCUGUAUAGCAGGACUAUCAAAACGGUGUUUCCUUUCAAAACUAGCCGCAACAAACUUCAAAGAUUUCAACUUAACUAUGUUGAAAUCUCAAUCAAACGGGCUGUGGCCGACGACGGUGGAUAUCAGAUGCAGCCAAUCAUUAUGGGAUUCAUCAAUUAUAGGAUCAAGCGAACGAUUGCAAAUUUUGGAGCAACGGUUACAAAGGCUAGAAAGUGAACAGUUGCUGCAAAAUGAACAAUGGGAAAAAGAACGCCGUGUGAGAGAACGAGAGUACGAUCGUCAAAUAGUUGAAAUGGAGCAAAAGUACAACCUCAUAUCAGCCACGAUCCAGGAGGAUUACGAACGCAAGCUUGCUGAUAUUCGGCAAAAAUAUGCACGUGAAUCAGUUGCUAUGCAGUGCAAAGACGUGCGAAACCCACCUAACGAACCCAAAACUUUAUAUCGAGAUCGAUCAAAAAAUAUUGCGGGUGAGACGAUCACCCGAGAGAAGGCGAAACCAUGUAACAAUAAGGAGCAGGCAAAUGAAAUACUUCAAAUAUUGUUCAUCUCUGUACGGCAUGGAAACCCGUCCCUACGUUUUAGAGAUAGCGCAAAACAGUUUGAUCAAUAUUACUGUUUUUCAGUUGUUGUGCUUGUUGUAAUCGCAGACGAAAUAUCUUAUAUUGCACGGUGGGAGCAAAGUAUUCUGCUCGCCGAUAAUGAGAAAUCUUACCCAAUAAGAAUUUGGGACCCUGGAUCUGACUUAACAAGUUGUUUUAUGUAAAAUAUGCAUCUCUGUGCUACUCGCGAGAUGGAUUAGUUCACGGGUGGAGGUAUGUUGCGACGCCCUUUAUUCGCAAUUAUAUGGCAGUGAAACUAAUGAUCAUUCCCUCGCGCAUCUGUCAAUACGGGCCAGUUUGCUAUUGAGUGCUAGAAGUGUUAUAGGACGAAACAGAGACGGCAUAGAAAAAUGCCGUAGUCCUCGAAAUUAAAUGUUAGCGGAACUAGUACAGGGAACAGAAAGAACACUGAAAUCUUUGAAGCCGCUGUAUAUCAGGACUAUCAAAACGAUGUUUCCUUUCAAAACUAGCCGCAACAGUCGUCAAACAUUUUGUA